ensembl:lncRNA
ACAGAAGUCAUUUGUGUGUCUCCUGGUAUAUGAUUUCACAAGAUGGAUGAUUAACGGAGUGACUAAACAUUUUCAAAUGAAUGACGUCAGGAAAAAGAGCAACUGCAUUAGUAUAAAUCAGUCUCAGAGGGAGAGAGGUCUUGAAACAGUCUCACUUUAGGAGGUCUUGAAACAGUCUCGCUUUAGGAGGUCUUGAAACAGUCUCGCUUUAGGAGGUCUUGAAACCACACUAAACGGGACAUUUCCACCUGUGACUAAGCCUGUAGUAUUACCAAAUAAAGGCUCAGACGUGUCGGUUUCCACCUCCACGGACCGUCACUCGUGUCUCACUGGACCACGGCUCUGGCUGGCUUGCUCAGAAUUUCAUUUACAUGACAAUGGCUAACUGAACAUGAGUUUACACCUUCCCACCAAGCACCUGUCUUGACGAUACAGAGAGGAGUUGAUUCUGCUCACACUCACAAGUCUUUUCGUGUCACACUCCUGAUGGGAAACAUACUUCACCAAAAAAUAAAGACGAUAGUUUACGUAACAUAAACACUGGAGACACAACGGAGCGAGGGAAGCCUCAGGUGGAAUUGACCCGUAAGUAUUAGACAAAGACCAAAGCAUUAUCAACGGAGUGAAUUAGAGUCAACAAGCUUAAACGGGGAAAUAACAAACGUUUAACCCAUCAUGAUACGCAUUCAAAUGAACGACAAGUCAAAAGCUGAAUGGAAAAACAUUUUAUUCGGAAAGCACAACUGAAGAGGAGUAAGAUGACAAGGAAAAGACACAAAAAAACAGACAUCACAAUAUAAAACCAGACAUCACAAUAUAAAACCAGACAUUACAAUAUCCAAACCAGACAUUACAAUAUACAACCAAACAUCACAAUAUAAAACCAGACAUUACAAUAUCCAAACAUCACAAUAUAAAACCAGACAUUACAAUAUACAAACAUCACAAUAUAAAACCAGACAUUACAAUAUACAAAACAUCACAAUAUCCAAACAUCACAAUAUAAAACCAGACAUUACAAUAUACAAAACAUCACAAUAUCCAAACAUCACAAUAUCAAAAAACAGACAUCACAUCCACCUAGGACUAGCUAAACACUUCAAC